rnacentral:rRNA from 1 species
UCCUACGGGGGGCAGCAGUGAGGAAUAUUGGUCAAUGGGCUUACGCCUGAACCAGCCAAGUCGCGUGAGGGAAGACUGCCCUAUGGGUUGUAAACCUCUUUUGUCAGGGAGCAACGCCGGCUACGUGUAGCCGGACUGAGAGUACCUGAAGAAAAAGCAUCGGCUAACUCCGUGCCAGCAGCCGCGGUAAUACGGAGGAUGCGAGCGUUAUCCGGAUUUAUUGGGUUUAAAGGGUGCGUAGGCGGAAUGCCAAGUCAGCGGUAAAAUCGCGGGGCUCAACCUGGCUCCGCCGUGGAAACUGGCGU